ACGCCUCGCUAAAAAAAAUCUCCGAUUUCAACGAGGAAGUUGCUCCUUGCAGAACAUUCUCUUUCUUUCAUGAGCUCGAAUACCUGAUCGAUCAUAACCUGAUCAAAGGUGGCGAUAUCAAUAAUGCGAUUGUGGUUGUUGAUAAACCAGUAACGGAAGACCAGGUAAAAC
rnacentral:misc_RNA from 1 species